GCAGUCUUGGACCCUGCACUCCCACCACCUCUACCCUUUCACCAGCCAUGGCACCCUGUUUACUCCAGAACAAAUCUGGGUCUGAAGAAUUCUAAGAGUGGGAGAAGGGGUCUGGCCCCCAGAACUCUAUGCUUCAUUUGCAAUUUUAACGCUCUUUAGCAUGACUUAAUAUUAAUAGUGGUCCGUUGUUGAAAGUGAGACUGUGUGUUCAAGGGCGGGGACUGUGCUUGUAGCUCCUCCAUCCUUGUAGCUCUCGCACAUAGCUCAGUGCAGUGCACAUAGUAGGUGCUCAAGAGAUACAAGUUGACCAGAUGAGCACAUUAUCUUACUGAAUUCUCACCAGAACUUUCUGAGGUACCUCUUAUUAUCAUUCCCAUUCUGAACAGGAGGCAGCCGGGGCUUAGUUGGGUUAAAUAAUUUGCCCCAGCUUACCCAGCUGGUGAGGAGUAGAGCUGGUGUUCUAGUCAGUUCUGACUGACUUCAAGGGCAGGCUCCCAGCCCGCUCACUCAACUGCGGACUCAGACAGCACCAACUGAGCAGAGGGUGGGGCUUGCAUCUCCAUCUUGGUAGUGAUUCUCUUAUAGAAGAAUUUUCAUAACCCUGAAAAUCUUUAUAUACAUUUCUUUUUUUUUAAAAAAAAAGAAAUUUAUUUUUCCUUUUGCUCCCCAAAGCCCCCCCGGCACAUAGUUGCCGGCACAUAGUUUUAGUUGUGGGUCCCUCCAGUUGCGGCAUGUGCGACACCACCUCAGCCUGGCUUGAUGAGUAGUGCCAUAUCUGUGCCCAGGAUUCAAACCGGUGAAACCCCAGGCUGCCAAAGCAGAGCCUGCAAACUUAACUACUCGGCCACGGGGCCAGCCCCAAUAUAUACAUUUCUUUGUAUCCUUUAUAUUUUUUCUUCCAGGUUAAGCCAACACUUAAUGCCAUACAAAAUUGAAGUUUGCGGAAUUCAAAGAAAAGGUAGAAUAAAAAUUGCAAAAUGAUAUGGUGUCAUUCUCAUAAUCCAGAGAUAAUUUAUAAUCAUGAUGCCUCCUUUUAUUUGAAGAAUUAGAAGUGAUUUUAUGAGAAUAAAUUUGUAUAGGUUUGCAAUUUCACGCUUGAAGUAAGCUGCAAAGAUAUCCAUGUGUUCCAGGCUGCUGUGGGGAGGCAAGGAAGAAGGAAUCGUUAUUAGGUUUUAGCUUGAAAUCUGAGGCAGAACAAUGCCAUUUCUCAUGGAAAAUUUUUAAUACUUAUAAUCUGAAGCUGCAUAACCAUAUUUCCUUAAUGGUGAAUGUGUCAGAGUAGAAACCAAGACAAUGUGGUAAAAAUAAAAGACUUUUUUCCUUUCUAAAAUUGUUUUUGUUUUUCCUGAGCUGCUGCUUUUACGAGCCGUGUGGGUAGGGAAUGCAUGGGUCACCGUCCACUGCCGGAGAAAUCUUUCUUGGCCCAAGAGGUGGCAGCAAAGGCUGGGGUUUCCACCUCCCACUCAGGGACUCUCCCAUCUUGAUCCAGGCUCAGGCAAGAGGCACAGACUUAUUACCACUCUCAUCAUUCCUGUCUGUCGGAAGGCAGAGGAUGUGGGGGCAGGGGGGUUCCUGGAAGAGAGCAGCCGCCCCACCCUUGUCGACUUGCAUCAUGUUGGUUCUGAGGAAAAGGCGAAUGUUUUUUGAGGUGACCUCACCACCUCACCUAAGGCUGAGGCUGGGACUGACGUGUCGACGAGCGACCUAAAGCCUCGAGGACGAGAAGGAAAGGCAAGGUCCCAGCUCACCCACGUGUUGGGUGACACUUUCAAGGACACAAUUACCCCAGCCUCAGCCAGAGGAGGCGAGCGUGUAGAACUGUGAGGAUGGACAACUGAAAACCAAAACUCAGCAGGACCAAACCAAAACUCCACUCCUGUGGUUCUUACUUUCACCACAGGAUUGAUUCUGACCAAGAAGGGAAGGAGAACAAUCUUCAAAAUCAAAGAGUCAGAAAGGGAGAAACUCAACCUUCUGCACAAAGGGGUAAUCAGUUCUCCAAAGCAGAACAAUUCUCAUUGGACACAGCGGUUGCAGGAAAAAACCAUCUGAUUCGUUUAUACGAUUAAACCAUCUGAUUCACCUAUGCAUAAGAAGGAAACAGACACGUGCUGUUCUGACCUUACAACCACAUCCGCUCUGCACAUUCCCGCUCCUUGCCUCACUCUCAUGGAUUAAUGGGGGGCUGAUGGAUCUGAAAGGUGUGGGUGAAUUGGAACAGGGACCUCUGAGUGAAAAAUACUUCUAGGGGAAGGAGAGCACCAUUUAAAAAACAAAAUAAAACAGAGAUCAGGGGCGAUCCUGGUGGCGUAAUGGUUAAGUUCACAGCCUCCCCUUCAGCGCCAGGGGUUCUGGGUUUGGAUCCAGCACGGACUUACACACUUCUCAUCAAGCCAUGCUGUGGGGGCAUCCCACAUACAAAAUAGAGGAGGAUUGGCACAGAUGUUAGCUCAUGGACAAUCUUCCUCAAGCAAAAAAGGGGAAGAUUGGCAACAGAUGUUAGCUCAGGGCCAAUCUUCCUCACCAAAAAAUAAAAUAAAAUAAAAUAAAAAAUAGCAC
rnacentral:lncRNA from 1 species